rnacentral:rRNA from 1 species
UACGUAGGUGGCGAGCGUUGUCCGGAUUCAUUGGGCGUAAAGCGCGCGCAGGUGGUGCGGUAAGUCUGUCGUGAAAUCUCCCGGCUCAACUGGGAGGGUGCGGUGGAGACUGCCGGACUGGAGGCACUCAGAGGCCGGUGGAAUUCCCGGUGUAGUGGUGAAAUGCGCAGAUAUCGGGAGGAACACCGGUGGCGAAGGCGGUUCUCUGGGCCUGUACUGACGCUGAGGAGCGAAAGCGUGGGGAGCGAACAGG